UCGAGAAUCUUGGUCAAUGCACGAAAGUGUGAACCAGCGACGCCGCGUGCAGGAUGAAGGCCCUCAGGGUCGUAAACUGCUUUUAUGGGGGAGAAAUAAAUGAUGUUACCCCAUGAAUAAGCCACGGCUAACUACGUGCCAGCAGCCGCGGUAAUACGUAGGUGGCAAGCGUUGUCCGGAUUUACUGGGCGUAAAGGGCAAGCAGGCGGACUGUUAAGUAGGAAGUGAAAGGUCGGAGCUCAACUCCAACAUUGCUUCCUAUACUGGCAGUCUUGAGUCUCGGAGAGGAAAGCGGAACGAUACGUGUAGCGGUGAAAUGCGUUGAUAUGUAUCGGAACACCAAUGGCGAAGGCAGCUUUCUGGACGAGAACUGACGCUCAUUUGCGAAAGCCGAGGUAGCGAACA
rnacentral:rRNA from 1 species